UACAUUCCUGUGGCUGAAAAAUCUUAUGAAGUUGUGAAGCAAAAGCGCUCCACUAAUUUGCCUGAGUUGAUGAGAUACAGUGACCUUGAGCCUCCUGUCUGAUUCAACAGGGCUUGAAUUUCUGGUAACUCCUCGCUCAAGACUGAUUUGCUCAUUAGCCUGUUGAGAGCACACAGCCUUGAGUCAACUAAAAUCCUUAUUUUCUGUCAACCCACUCUUCUUACAGCCACGUCUCACUCCAUUCUCCUACCUCUGAUACUUUACCCCAAGCCAUGAUAGUUCUUUUUCUCACUCUGGCCAGUCAUGACCUUAAAUCUCUUUCUUCCUUAAAAACUGUAGCCCAAAUUCCAUAUCCUUCAAGAUGUUCUUUUGAUUCACCCAACCAUCCCUCAUAGACAGUCUAAUCCUUGCCUCUUAAUGUGCAUUUCUUUUGCUUUCUGUUUGUCUACUAGCCACUUCUGUUUAAUGUUUAAACACAGUCCCAGAUUUCAUCAUCCAAGGUGCUAUUGACACAACCAGUGCAGUGCUCAAUGCCCAGCAGAUACAAAAGAAACUCCUACUGACAGUGCUAGCCAGGAGAAGCAGGAGUUCUUUUCUCCUAAGGCCACAGCAAGUGGAUGAUAAUGCUUCGUAAGGUAUGGACAAGGUUCUGACCCUUAUUAUUGGAACUCAAAUCCAGAUGGAGUUUGUUGGGUCUUCACAUCAUUGGAAGGUGAAUAGAAAAGUAUGUCUUCAGAAUUUCACCAUGUUUUGGAAGAAUUGCAGCAAUAAAGAAAGAAUUCCUUUGUUUCCACUCCAUUUCUUUUAAGGAAAACCUGGAAUAUCUGAGGGUGCAAGCUGAGAAAGGUCUGCUUAUCUAUUCCCUACUCUGGAGAUCAAAAACAAUCCAAGUCUACUGUUCUCUUCUCCUGGCACUCUUAACUUGUACACAUUGCAACAUUUUAUGUCAAAGUAAUGAUCAAGCUAUCCUAACAAGGACGAGCCCUUAUUAAAUAAUUCACUAUGG
rnacentral:lncRNA from 1 species